rnacentral:misc_RNA from 1 species
AUGAGUUGCAAAACUCCCAAGACCUUUGUGAACCUUACCUAUACCGUUUCCUCGGCGGGCGGCGGCAAGCCGUGACCGGUUUCCCCCUCGCCCCUUUCAUCGGGGGCGGGAGGGAACAGGGCCCGCCGGAGGCACCCUAAACUCUUGUUUUCAGUUGGUCUCUCUGAGUCGUACUUUGUAAAUAAGUCA